UACAGAGGGUGCAAGCGUUAAUCGGAUUUACUGGGCGUAAAGCGUGUGUAGGUGGCCUCCUAAGUCGGUUGUGAAAUCCCUCAGCUUAACUGGGGAACUGCGUCUGAUACUGGCGAGCUUGAGUGCAGGAGAGGAACGCGGAAUUCCAGGUGUAGCGGUGAAAUGCGUAGAUAUCUGGAGGAAUACCGAUGGCGAAGGCAGCCCCCUGGGAUAACACUGACGCUCAUGCACGAAAGCGUGGGGAGCAAACAGG
rnacentral:rRNA from 1 species